UACGGAGGGUCCAAGCGUUAUCCGGAAUCAUUGGGUUUAAAGGGUCCGUAGGCGGUUUUGUAAGUCAGUGGUGAAAGCCCAUCGCUCAACGGUGGAACGGCCAUUGAUACUGCAAGACUUGAAUUAUUGUGAAGUAACUAGAAUAUGUAGUGUAGCGGUGAAGUGCUUAGAGAUUACAUGGAAUACCAAUUGCGAAGGCAGGUUACUAACAAUAUAUUGACGCUGAUGGACGAAAGCGUGGGUAGCGAACAGG
rnacentral:rRNA from 1 species